GGGCCGCUAGCUCAACGGCAGAGCAACUGACUCUUAAUCAGCAGGUUGAAGGUUCGAAUCCUUCGCGGCCCA
rnacentral:tRNA from 1 species